AGUGAACGCUGGCGGUAGGCCUAACACAUGCAAGUCGAACGGCAGCACAGUAAGAGCUUUCCCCUACUGGUGACGAGUGGCGUACGGGUGAGGUAUCCAGCGGUAUCUACUUUUUCGUGGGGGAUAACGUGGGGCUACUUACGCUAAUACCUCAUACGACCUACGGGUGGAUUCAGAAGAUCUUCGGACCUUGGGCGAAUGAAUGAGCCGAUGUCGGGUUAGCUAGUUGGCGGGGUAAAGGCCCACCAAGGCGACGAUCCGUAGCUGGUCUGAGGGGAGGAAGAGCGACAGAGGAAGUGAGACGCGAUACUGGCUCUGACGGGAGGCACAAAUGGGGAAGAUUGGAAGAUGGGCGGAAGCCUGAUCCAGGCAUACCGGGUGGAUGAAGAAGGCCUGCGGGUUGUAAAGCCCUUUUGUUGGGGAAGAAAAGCAGCAGGUUAAUAGCCCGCUGUUCUGACGGUACCCAAAGAAUAAGCACCGGCUAACUUCGUG
rnacentral:rRNA from 1 species